rnacentral:rRNA from 1 species
GACGAACGCUGGCGGCGUGCCUAAUACAUGCAAGUCGAGCGAACGGACGAGAAGCUUGCUUCUCUGAUGUUAGCGGCGGACGGGUGAGUAACACGUGGAUAACCUACCUAUAAGACUGGGAUAACUUCGGGAAACCGGAGCUAAUACCGGAUGAUAUUUUGAACCGCAUGGUUCAAAAGUGAAAGACGGUCUUGCUGUCACUUAUAGAUGGAUCCGCGCCGCAUUAGCUAGUUGGUAAGGUAACGGCUUACCAAGGCAACGAUGCAUAGCCGACCUGAGAGGGUGAUCGGCCACACUGGAACUGAGACACGGUCCAGACUCCUACGGGAGGCAGCAGUAGGGAAUCUUCCGCAAUGGGCGAAAGCCUGACGGAGCAACGCCGCGUGAGUGAUGAAGGUCUUCGGAUCGUAAAACUCUGUUAUUAGGGAAGAACAUAUGUGUAAGUAACUGUGCACAUCUUGACGGUACCUAAUCAGAAAGCCACGGCUAACUACGUGCCAGCAGCCGCGGUAAUACGUAGGUGGCAAGCGUUAUCCGGAAUUAUUGGGCGUAAAGCGCGCGUAGGCGGUUUUUUAAGUCUGAUGUGAAAGCCCACGGCUCAACCGUGGAGGGUCAUUGGAAACUGGAAAACUUGAGUGCAGAAGAGGAAAGUGGAAUUCCAUGUGUAGCGGUGAAAUGCGCAGAGAUAUGGAGGAACACCAGUGGCGAAGGCGACUUUCUGGUCUGUAACUGACGCUGAUGUGCGAAAGCGUGGGGAUCAAACAGGAUUAGAUACCCUGGUAGUCCACGCCGUAAACGAUGAGUGCUAAGUGUUAGGGGGUUUCCGCCCCUUAGUGCUGCAGCUAACGCAUUAAGCACUCCGCCUGGGGAGUACGACCGCAAGGUUGAAACUCAAAGGAAUUGACGGGGACCCGCACAAGCGGUGGAGCAUGUGGUUUAAUUCGAAGCAACGCGAAGAACCUUACCAAAUCUUGACAUCCUUUGACAACUCUAGAGAUAGAGCCUUCCCCUUCGGGGGACAAAGUGACAGGUGGUGCAUGGUUGUCGUCAGCUCGUGUCGUGAGAUGUUGGGUUAAGUCCCGCAACGAGCGCAACCCUUAAGCUUAGUUGCCAUCAUUAAGUUGGGCACCCUAAGUUGACUGCCGGUGACAAACCGGAGGAAGGUGGGGAUGACGUCAAAUCAUCAUGCCCCUUAUGAUUUGGGCUACACACGUGCUACAAUGGACAAUACAAAGGGCAGCGAAACCGCGAGGUCAAGCAAAUCCCAUAAAGUUGUUCUCAGUUCGGAUUGUAGUCUGCAACUCGACUACAUGAAGCUGGAAUCGCUAGUAAUCGUAGAUCAGCAUGCUACGGUGAAUACGUUCCCGGGUCU